CCUCAGGCAUGUUUAGCCAAGACCUUGCACCAGGGUUCCCCAGCUUACAGGUGGCACCUUUCUCCAACCUACUCAGGUUCCUCAAUUCUUCCCUUCAUUCCCUGGCUUCUGAACGACCCCCAAAGCACAUGGCUUCUGCCUCUUGCUCUGCCCAUUCAAACCUUCUUACAGGGGCAGACAGAAUGACACAGACCACACAAUUCACGGCCCUUCUGUGCUUAAAACCUAGCAGGGGCUCCUCCUGCACACAGAACACAACCCG
rnacentral:lncRNA from 1 species